rnacentral:rRNA from 1 species
AAUCAACGCUGGCGGCGUGCCUCAGACAUGCAAGUCGAACGAUUAAAGCUCUCUUCGGAGAGUGCAUAGAGUGGCGCACGGGUGAGUAACACGUAAGUAAUCUACCUUCGAGUGGGGAAUAACACCGAGAAAUCGGUGCUAAUACCGCAUAAUGCAGCGGCAUCGCAAGAUGACAGUUGUUAAAGAUUUAUCGCUUGAAGAGGAGCUUGCGGCAGAUUAGCUAGUUGGUAAGGUAAUGGCUUACCAAGGCUACGAUCUGUAACCGGUCUAAGAGGACGGUCGGUCACACUGACACUGAA